UCCAUCCUAUGGCGUGGAUACCGGAAACAAACUUAUAAGGAAAAGGAGACGCCCUCAGAGCCAUGGCUCUCCGCUGUCUCUAAACAAAAACAAGGUUGAACAGCAUCCAGAUAUCUGCUUCUGGCCUUCUUCCACAGCUCCAACAUCUGCACUGGAGUUGCUAGGAAUGACUGGUUCUUUGACUGCAUGCCCGUGCAUGCAGUGGAAAAUACAAAGAUGCAACUCUACUUUGAGAAUUACCUUGCCUUGCCUUAAAGAAAAAGGCAAGUCUGCAUGUGCACUUCUUUAUGCUACUUUAUUACAUAAAAUCUUAAUAAACUACAGUGACACAUGUGGCUGUAAAGUGACCAACAGAA